AGACUGCGGCCGAGACGGGGAGGGGGAAGCCUCGCCUGGGGGGCGGCAGUGGCCUGGGCGGCUCUCCGGCUGCUGUUGUAUGGCUGCACGUUGGCGCUACCGGACGGGAUGCUGUAUCCCCGAGAGAGCCCGUCGUGGCAGCGCAAGCAGCUGGACGGCCUCUGAAGCUUCCGCGCCGACUUCUCCGACAACCGACGCCGGGGCUUCGAGGAGCAGAGGUACCGGCGACCGCUGUCGGAGGCGCGGACUCGGGGCAGGGCCAGGAGUCGCCCGGAAGCCCGGCGGUGGGAAUGGGUCAGGCCCCACCGUGGACAUGCCGGUUCCCUCCAGCUUCAACGACAUCGGCCAGGGCUGGCGGCUGCGGCAUUUUGUCAGCUGGUUGUGGUAUGAACGGGAGGUGACCCUGCUGGAGCGAUGGAUCCAGGACCUGUGCACAAGAGUGGUGCUGAGGAUUGGCAGUGCCCACUUCUAUGCCAUCGUGGUAUCCCAAGGGUUACUUUGUCCAGAACACAGACUUUGACUUCUUCAGCUACGCAGGACUGCUGUGGUCUCUGCUUCUAUACACGACACCCCCCACCUACAUCGAUGACGUCACCGUCACCACCGGCGUGAAGCGAGACAGUGGUGAGGGCUUCUGGACUGGAUGGAGGACCUGAAGACGUGAGGUGGAGGCACAGGUAGAAGAGAAGAUUCUCACCAUCGCUGAUUCACACAAAAGCAUUUCUCCAAGUGGUUGCAGAUGACAUGAUUUCCCAAAGUGUUAGAGCUGAAGUGUGUUUCCUUGUGUAUAUAUACUGUGGUUCCUUUAUCCCUUCAUCUGUGGAUAGACAGGUGCAACCGUGUGGUUCCCCACGAUAUGAUUUCAUUGUGGUUUUCUGUCUGAAGAGUAUCCCAGUAUGUACCUGUGGAGCAGCUUCUUUAUCCCUUCAUCUGUGGAUAAGCAGGUCAUGUCCUCCAGGUUUCUGCACGUUGCUGCAGAUGACAUGAUUUCAUGAAUUUCUGCGGCCGAAGAGGAUUCCACUGCGUGCUGCAGUUUCUUUAUCCCUUUAUCUGUGCAUGAACAGUGCAGGCCAAGGCCCCCUGCCCAUGGAGGUGUGCUGCAGACAGCAGCAGCAGCAGCAGCAGCAGCAGCAGCAGCAGCAGAGGCCUGGCUUCCUGAGGAAUUGCUGGCCGGUUUGAGGAAGGAAGGAAGUCCCACCUACCAUGAUCACCCUCCAGCCUGGAGGAAGCUCCAUGCCAGCAGCAUGGACCAGCAUGGGAGCCAGAGCCCUGCUAAUGCUGCAGCUCAUCACCCCUGCUCAGCAGCCCAGCAGCCCAGCAGCCAUUGCCACAUCCCAUUUCCAGGGCCUCCUGCCCCCAUGCCCCCACGUGCCCAUGGACCGACACACCACUCUUCCUGUUGGCCCAAGGUAGGCAUGGAGGGAAUUUUUCAAGUCCACUUUUAGUAGGUAAGUCAAAACCAAACAAAAUAACCACUCGACACCUGGUCCAAUGCCCUUCCAAACUCACUCUUUUCUCUGACCCUUAAACACUUGUCCUGCAUCUCCCAGACUCCACUGUACCUUGAUCAGUAGGUCCCUCUUCACUGCAGUGUCUUUUUUGCAGAGUUCUUUUAGCUCUUUCAUGCUUUUGCUAUGGGCAGAGGAAAGAAAGAAGGGUAAAUUUGGGAAUCAGGGGAGAUUUGUGAGUUCCAGUCCCUUUUGUUUGAAAACCCAGUGAAUCCCAGCUUACUGGGUGAGAGUUUUCAGUGGAGUCCUCUGAUCACAGGGGCUCCAGAGGACCAGGGUGGGACCUCUCAUGCUCCUCCCCUGGGCCCCAUCUCCACUUCACAUGAGCCACUGCGUGUUUACAGUUAGCUUUCAGCUGGACACAGAGUUCCACUGCUGGGUACAAACACCUGAAAGCCUCCAGUUGGCUCCAGUCUGUUCCUGAUGGUUAAAAAACCUUAGUCCUGAGUUGGAAAUCCUUGCCUAGGAGUCCAGGGCAGCUUAGUGACCACAGCCACCGGCCCAUCCCUGCCUCCAGUGUCCCUGGACUCCAAGAACCUUUCAGAGUCAUUGAGGGCACAUGGGGGGAGACCUGUGAGUCCCUAGGUCAACCCUGAUGCUGCCAUGGAGAGAGCCCUCCUCACCUGGACACUCCUGCCCACGUCUUGUGUAGCUGACCUAUUGGGUUGCUGCACAGAGCAGAGACGAUGACGUGCACCGAGGAGAAGUUGUUGAGGCUUAGGCACUCCUGGAGAGGGAAGAAUGAGCUGUGCGGUUCAGAGUUGGAGCUUGGCCCACUACAGCCUCAGCCCCCUCUGCUGAGAUCUCCCCUCCUGGAUGAAGCAGAGGCCUGGGGAGCCUCAGGAGGGCAGACCUGGGGCCGAGUGGAUGUCACUCAUCUAGGAGGAUUUUAGUUCAACCCAAGGAAGACCCCAGGUCGGAAGUGAGCAGCCACCACUGGGCCGUGGGAGUCAAGUCUGGAGAAACAGCUACGGCCAUCCCAGCCCUGGCCAAGGGGAAAAUGCCGGAAGACUCCAGGGUGGGAGGAAGCGCGUCCCAAGGCCCAGGAUCUGCGAGGCGACUUGGGGAAAACGCAGGACCUGCUGAAGCUCACACCCGUGGACCACCCAGACUGCCUGCCGCUACAGGAUGCCCUCCGCAUCUCCCAGGACUUCUUUCCGGCAUCAGUGUGGACAUUGACCCCACUGGACUGCAGUCACAGUGGACUCCCAAGGGGCAGGAUCCACCUCUGAUGUUCAGUGAAGACUACCAGAAAAGUCUGCUAGAGCAGUACCAUCUGGGUCUGGAUCAAAAACUCAGAAAAUACGUGGUUGGAGAGCUCAUCUGGAAUUUUGCCGAUUUCAUGACUAACCAGUGUCAGCCCAAGACUACCCCGUCGGUCAUUCUGUUCCUGCCGUCCUGUGAGGAGCCCCAAGCCAACAAGGCCACACUGGUGUGUCUCAUGAAUAACUUUAUCCGGGAAUCUUGAUGGUGACCUGGAAGGCAGAUGGUACCCUCAUCACCCAGAGCGUGGAGAAGACCACGCCCUCCAAACAGAGCAACAACAAGUACGUGGCCAGCAGCUACCUGAGCCUGACGCCCGAGCAGUGGAGGUCCCGCAGAAGCUACAGCUGCCAGGUUAUGCAAGAAGGGAGCACCGUGGAGAAGUCAGUGGCCCCUGCAGAAUGUUCAUAGGUUCCAGCCCCCACCCCACCCACAGGGGCCUGGAGCUGCAGGAUCCCAGGGGAGGGGUCUCUCUCUGCAUCCCAAGCCAUUCAGCCCUUCUCGCUGUACCCAGUAAACCCUCAAUAAAUAUCUUUGUCAGCCAGAAA
rnacentral:lncRNA from 1 species